GGGGGGGGGGGGGGGGGGGGGGGGCGGGGGCGGGGCGGGCGGGGGGACAGUGAGAGCUUGGUCUGGCGGGGGGCGAGUGGCGGACGGGGGAGGCAUGCAUCGGAAUCUACUUUUUCGGGGGGGAUAACGUAGGCAAACUUACGCUAAUACCGCAUACGCCGUACGGGUUAAAGCAGGGGGUCUUCAGCACUUGCGCGAUUGGAUUAGCCGAUGUCGGAUUAGCUAUGUGGCGGGGUAAAGGCCCACCAAGGCGACCAUCCGUAGCUGGUCUGAGAGGAUGAUCAGCCACACUGGAACUGAGACACGGUCCAGACUCCUACGGGAGGCAGCAGUGGGGAAUAUUGGACAAUGGGCGCAAGCCUGAUCCAGCCAUACCGCGUGGGUGAAGAAGGCCUUCGGGUUGUAAAGCCCUUUUGUUGGGAAAGAAAAGCAGCAGGUUAAUACCCCGCUGUUCUGACGGUACCCAAAGAAUAAGCACCGGCUAACUUCGUG
rnacentral:rRNA from 1 species